rnacentral:rRNA from 1 species
AAAGAUUCAUCGAAAGGGAUGGGGAUGCGCCUGAUUAGGCAGUUGGCGGGGCAACGGCCCACCAAACCGACGAUCAGUAGGGGUUCUGAGAGGAAGGUCCCCCACAUUGGAACUGAGACACGGUCCAAACUCCUACGGGAGGCAGCAGUGAGGAAUAUUGGUCAAUGGGCGAGAGCCUGAACCAGCCAAGUAGCGUGCAGGAUGACGGCCCUAUGGGUUGUAAACUGCUUUUGUACGGGGAUAAAGUGAGUCACGUGUGGCUUAUUGCAGGUACCGUACGAAUAAGGACCGGCUAAUUCCGUGCC